GCAAAAUGUUCCUUGAAAUGGAUGCUGAUUUGUUUGAAGAUUGUCAGAAACAAUAUACCGAGAAAGCAGCUCGGGCCUCUGAUCUGGAAAAGCAGCGAGAUUUAAGAUGGCAGAGAUUAGCAGCUGCUGCUGGACAAGGAGGGUAAAGUACACGUUGAUCGUUAUUCCUGAUAUGUUAAAUGCAGGAUUAGACACACCAAAUCAACCAUGUUCUUCUGUUAUAGUGGUAUUCA
rnacentral:misc_RNA from 1 species